rnacentral:tRNA from 1 species
UCCCAGGUGGCUCAGUGGGUAAAGAAUUUGCCUGCAAUGCAAGAGACUUGGGUUCAAUCCCUGGGCUGGGAA